rnacentral:rRNA from 1 species
GACGAACGCUGGCGGCGUGCUUAACACAUGCAAGUCGAACGAAGUGGCGAACGGGUGAGUAACGCGUAAUCAACCUGCCCUUCAGAGGGGGACAACAGUUGGAAACGACUGCUAAUACCGCAUACUGAAGGAGGGGAUUGCGUCUGAUUAGCUAGUUGGGGGGGGAACGGCCCACCAAGGCGAUGAUCAGUAGCCGGUCUGAGGGGAUGAACGGCCAAAUUGGGAAUGAGACCCGGCCCCAACUCCUAAGGGGGGCAGCAGGGGGGAAUCUUCCGGAAUGGACGGAAGUCUGACGGAGCAACGCCGCGUGAGUGAUGACGGCCUUCGGGUUGUAAAGCUCUGGUAAUCGGGGCGCGGUACCGGAAUAGAAAGCCACGGCUAACUACGUGCCAGCAGCCGCGGUAAUAC